rnacentral:rRNA from 1 species
UACGUAGGGUGCAAGCGUUAAUCGGAAUUACUGGGCGUAAAGCGUGCGCAGGCGGUUUUGUAAGACAGAGGUGAAAUCCCCGGGCUCAACCUGGGAACUGCCUUUGUGACUGCAAGGCUCGAGUGCGGCAGAGGAGACUGGAAUUCCUGGUGUAGCAGUGAAAUGCGUAGAUAUCAGGAGGAACACCGAUGGCGAAGGCAGGUCUCUGGGCUGACACUGACGCUCAUGCACGAAAGCGUGGGGAGCAAACAGG